rnacentral:tRNA from 1 species
GCCUGGCAGGCUCAGUCAGUAGAGCAUAUGACUUUUGAUCACAGGGUUGUGAGUUCAAACCCCAUGUUGGGUA